rnacentral:lncRNA from 1 species
CCGGUCCGGAGGCCGGAUGAAAAGCCGGAGUUGAAGGUGCAGACACGGUAGGCUUUUUGCUCCUCCCCCAUCCCCAUGCCCAUCACCACGACAGGGCCUUUGACAAUCAUGCCUUGCAUCAAAACAUGUCCUUUUAGUUUGCAGGGGUACAAGCUUGCCAAGGCAGUGAUCGAUUCCCUUUCCUAUCAUUGGGAUGGGCACCUCGGUUGCUGCCUACCGGAGAGCUCGCCGUGCUUUCGGAUCCGAUCUGCCAUGAGAGCUCACUCUCCUGCCCUUCUCGUCUAUGUUUUGAUGGAGAAAAGAGCAUUUGAUUGGAGCGGCAGGGACGUGUUCUUGGACAGGAGAAGAGGAAAGAAAAGCCUGUGUAAUACAGGCUGUUCCUGCAUCCGUACAAAUUGAUUUUUCACUCGUCUUCUCUGUUGCUCCUCCUGCUGCUCCCUUCUCUCCCCUGCUGCCCGAGCACAUGCUUUACCUGACUAAUCAUUACAAUUUGAGCUUUAUUAGGCGUCGUCGCAGAGAACGGAGGAGGUGAUUAUUGGACAUAAUGCAGUCAGUAUUCAGCAAGUGAUGGUGAGUAUCCGUGGUGUUGGAACAUCUCCUUGUUUUUCCUUAAUUUUCCUCCUGUGUCAGCACUGCUGGGGCUGUGUAGUUGUUGCUAAAGUAGUAGUAGUAGUAGUACAAACUAUUGCUGGAAUGGGUGUAUUCUGCUUUUUCUCGGUCGCUUUUGCAACUUGGUGUACUAUAUUUUGUACACAUCUUGUGUAGUAGUUGGGAAUAUGAUGCUGUGAGGGCCGUUAAGACAUGGCCUGGAGACAAAGCUUUGUUGUUGUUCUUCUCUUUGGGUCCUACUUAGGCCUCCCUUUCCCUCUCGUCUUAGACUAAUAAUCCAGCACUCUCCAAUCAAGCCCUUAUAUGCCUUUUUUUUUUUCUCUCUCUCUCUCUGGUCAAUAGAGAAAUGGAUGAGAAAAGGAGGCCAAGUAUUUGGAUCCUAGUUUGUUGCAAGUAUAAACAAGGCAAGUGAACAACCCACAUCACCAGAUGGGAAAAGCAAGAGAGGCCCCUGAGCUGAAGUAUCGAAACAAGGAAAUUAGCACCUGUUUUGCUGUUGUGUUUAGAGGAUGAUAGCAACAAAAGAAAGCCGAGUCCAUACAGAGGCAAGAAAGAAGGGGGCUUUGUAAUGAUGAUGAUUAUGAUACACCCACAUGUUGCUCCUGGCUAAUCCACCGCUGAUGGUGCCAUGUAUGUAAAUACCACAAUGCAAUGUGAUGUAAAGCAGGGGCAGCUCUCUUUUUGUUGUUGUUGAUGCAACAAGUGAGAGGGAGGUUUUUUUUGCUAAGAAAGGGGGAAACACCUGAGCGGGAAUGCCUUUCUUUGUCUUGAGGCCG